rnacentral:rRNA from 1 species
AGCGAACGCUGGCGGCAGGCCUAACACAUGCAAGUCGAGCGCCCCGCAAGGGGAGCGGCAGACGGGAGAGUAACACGUGGGAACGUACCCUUUGGUUCGGAACAACCCAGGGAAACUUGGGCUAAUACCGGAUAAGCCCUUACGGGGAAAGAUUCAUCGCCGAAGGAUCGGCCCGCGUCUGAUUAGCUUGGUGGUGAGGUAACGGCUCACCAAGGCGACGAUCAGUAGAUGGUCUGAGAGGAUGAUCAGCCUCACUGGGACUGAGACACGGCCCAGACUCCUACGGGAGGCAGCAGUGGGGAAUAUUGGACAAUGGGCGCAAGCCUGAUCCAGCCAUGCCGCGUGGGUGAUGAAGGCCCUAGGGUUGUAAAGCCCUUUCGGCGGGGAAGAUAAUGACGGUACCCGCAGAAGAAGCCCCGGCUAACUUCGUGCCAGCAGCCGCCGUAAUAC